rnacentral:SRP_RNA from 1 species
GCCAGUCGAGAUCGCCCCCCGUCAGCGAGUUUCGCCCACGGGGGCUUAUUGU